CUUGAUCGACCCGAGCAGCAGCGGCCGGUCGGCGGGACGGUUGUGCCCGUAGGUGGCGAUCAGCGCCUCCGCCUC
rfam:Frankia sp. Dg2 genome assembly, contig: Dg2_contig1699